AUGCGCAGCCACCCCAUGCCGCCAUUGCCCUUCACCCACAUCUCCCCGACGUCGCCGGCGCCGCCGACGUUGGUGACGUACACCAACAGCCAGUGCGGGUUGCCCUGGAACGCGAACCGGAUCCCGCCCUUGCGCAUGCACGGCACCCUGCGGUACAUGACGGGGACGAUGCCCGCAUGCCAGUCGGCCAUCUUCUUGAAGGCCGGGAUGGCGAGGUCGAAGUGGGUGCGCGGUGGGUUGCACCAGCCGCCGUUGUUGGUGUCCUGCGCCCAGUUGGGCGGGCACAGGUUGGUCGCGGUCACCGUGAUCACCGGCGAGCCCCUGUAA
rnacentral:rRNA from 1 species